GACGAACGCUGGCGGCGUGCUUAACACAUGCCAGUCGAACGGAAAGGCCCUGCUUGCAGGGUACUCGAGUGGCGAACGGGUGAGUAACACGUGGGUGAUCUGCCCUGCACUUCGGGAUAAGCCUGGGAAACUGGGUCUAAUACCGGAUAGGAGCCAUUUUUAGUGUGAUGGUUGGAAAGUUUUUUCGGUGUAGGAUGAGCUCGCGGCCUAUCAGCUUGUUGGUGGGGUAAUGGCCUACCAAGGCGGCGACGGGUAGCCGGCCUGAGAGGGGGGACGGCCACAUUGGGACUGAGAUACGGCCCAGACUCCUACGGGAGGCAGCAGUGGGGAAUAUUGCACAAUGGGCGCAAGCCUGAUGCAGCGACGCCGCGUGGGGGAUGACGGCCUUCGGGUUGUAAACUCCUUUCGCUAGGGACGAAGCUUUGUGUGACGGUACCUAGAUAAGAAGCACCGGCUAACUACGUG
rnacentral:rRNA from 1 species